rnacentral:rRNA from 1 species
UACGGAGGGUGCAAGCGUUAUCCGGAUUUACUGGGUUUAAAGGGUGUGUAGGCGGCCUUUUAAGUCAGCGGUGAAAUCUCCGGGCUCAACCCGGAAACUGCCAUUGAUACUGGCAACCUAGAGACUGGAAGAGGUUAGUGGAAUUCCCAGUGUAGAGGUGAAAUUCGUAGAUAUUGGGAAGAACACCAGUGGCGAAGGCGGCUAACUGGUCCAGCACUGACGCUGAGGUGCGAAAGCGUGGGGAGCAAACAGG